rnacentral:rRNA from 1 species
CCUACGGGAGGCAGCAGUUAGGAAUUUUGGGCAAUGGGCGAAAGCCUGACCCAGCAACGCCGCGUGGGCGAAGAAGGCCUUCGGGUCGUAAAGCCCUUUUCCAGGGGAAGCGGUACCCUGGGAAUCAGCCCCGGCUAACUACGUGCCAGCAGCCGCGGUAAUACGUAGGGGGCAAGCGUUGUCCGGAUUUAUUGGGCGUAAAGCGCUCGCAGGUGGUUCAUUGCGUCGUGCGUGAAAGACCCCGGCUCAACUGGGGAGGGUCGUGCGAAACGGGUGAACUAGAGGCCAGUAGGGGGAUGCGGAAUUCCGGGUGUAGUGGUGGAAUGCGUAGAGAUCCGGAGGAACACCAGCGGCGAAGGCGGCAUCCUGGACUGGCCUGACACUCAGGAGCGAAAGCGUGGGGAGCGAUCCGGAUUAGAUACCCUUGUAGUC